UUUAUUUGAUAGCACCUUACUACAUGGAUAACUGUGGUAAUUCUAGAGCUAAAACAUGCUAAAAAUCCCGACUUCGGAAGGGAUGUGUUUAUUAGAUUAAAAACCAAUGCCCUUCGGGGCUCCUUGGUGAUUCAUGAUAACCGCUCGAAUCGCACGGCCUUGCGCCGGCGAUGGUUCAUUCAAAUUUCUUCCCUAUCAACUUUCGAUGCGAAGGUCUUGUCUUCGCAUGGUUACAACGGGUAACGGAGGGUUAGGGCUCGACCCCGGAGAAGGAGCCUGAGAAACGGCUACUACAUCCAAGGAAGGCAGCAGGCGCGCAAAUUACCCAAUCCCGACACGGGGAGGUAGUGACAAUAAAUACUGAUACAGGGCUCUUUUGGGUCUUGUAAUCGGAAUGAGUACAAUUUAAAUCCCUUAACGAGGAACAAUUGGAGGNNNNNNNNNNNNNNNNNNNNNNNNNNNNNNNNNNNNUAGCGUAUAUUAAAGUUGUUGUGGUUAAAAAGCUCGUAGUUGAACCUUGGGCCUGGCUGGCCGGUCCCCCUCACCGGGUGCACUGGUCCGGCCGGGCCUUUCCCUCUGUGGAACCGCAUGCCCUUCACUGGGUGUGCCGGGGAAACAGGACUUUUACUUUGAAAAAAUUAGAGUGCUCCAGGCAGGCCUAUGCUCGAAUACAUUAGCAUGGAAUAAUGGAAUAGGACGUGUGGUUCUAUUUUGUUGGUUUCUAGGACCGCCGUAAUGAUUAAUAGGGACAGUCGGGGGCAUCAGUAUUCAAUUGUCAGAGGUGAAAUUCUUGGAUCUAUUGAAGACUAACUACUGCGAAAGCAUUUGCCAAGGAUGUUUUCAUUGAUAAGGAACGAAAGUUAGGGGAUCGAAGACGAUCAGAUACCGUCGUAGUCUUAACUAUAAACUAUGCCGACUAGGGAUCGGACGGUGUUUAUACUUGACCCGUUCGGCACCUUUCGAGAAAUCAAAGUGCUUGGGCUCCA
rnacentral:rRNA from 1 species